rnacentral:rRNA from 1 species
UAAGGAAUAUUGGUCAAUGGGCGGAAGCCUGAACCAGCCAUGCCGCGUGCAGGAAGACGGCCCUAUGGGUUGUAAACUGCUUUUGUACCGGAAUAAACCUUGAUACGUGUAUCAAGCUGAAUGUACGGUAAGAAUAAGGAUCGGCUAACUCCGUGCCAGCAGCCGCGGUAAUACGGAGGAUCCGAGCGUUAUCCGGAUUUAUUGGGUUUAAAGGGUGCGUAGGUGGCCUGUUAAGUCAGGGGUGAAAGACGGUAGCUCAACUAUCGCAGUGCCCUUGAUACUGAUGGGCUUGAAUGAACUAGAGGUAGGCGGAAUGUGACAAGUAGCGGUGAAAUGCAUAGAUAUGUCACAGAACACCAAUUGCGAAGGCAGCUUACUAUGGUUUGAUUGACACUGAGGCACGAAAGCGUGGGGAUCAAACA